CUUAGUAGUGGUGAGGAGGAGGGGGUGAAGCGUAGACAUAAUGGGGUGGUGGUGGUGGAGGAGACUUGUAUUUGUAAACUGGAGGAGGAGGUGGUGGAGACUUGUACUUGUAAGGGUGCUUGGGGGGUGAUGGUGGGGGUGGUGGGGGUGACUUGUACUUGUAGGGGUGCUUGGGUGGUGACGGUGGGGGUGGGGACUUGUACUUGUAAGGAUGCUUGGGGGGUGAUGGUGGUGGUGGUGGAGGUGACUUGUACUUGUAGGGGUGCUUGGGUGGUGACGGUGGGGGUGGGGACUUGUACUUGUAAGGGUGCUUGGGUGGUGACGGUGGUGGUGGUGGGGGGGACUUGUACUUGUAGGGAUGCUUUGGUGGGGAUGGUGGUGGUGGUGGUGGGGACUUGUACUUGUAGGGAUGCUUAGGUGGUGAUGGUGGUGGUGGUGGAGACUUGUAUUUGUAAGGAUGCUUUGGUGGUGAUGGUGGUGGAGGUGGUGGGGACUUGUACUUGUAAGGGUGCUUGGGUGGUGAUGGAGGUGGAGGUGGUGGAGACUUAUACUUGUAAACUGGAGGUGGUGGGGGUGGAGACUUGUACUUGUAAGGGUGCUUGGGUGGUGACGGAGGUGGAGGUGGUGGAGACUUAUACUUGUAAACUGGAGGUGGUGGGGGUGGAGACUUGUACUUGUAAGGGUGCUUGGGUGGUGAUGGUGGGGGUGGGGGUGGCGACUUGUACUUGUAGGGGUGUUUAGGUGGUGAUGGUGGUGGUGGUGGUGGUGGUGGGGACUUGUACUUGUAAGGAUGCUUGGGUGGUGAUGGUGGUGGAGGAGACUUGUACUUGUAAGGAUGCUUGGGUGGUGAUGGUGGUGGAGGUGGUGGAGACUUAUACUUGUAAACAGGAGUUGGUGGGGGAGGAGAUUUGUACUUGUAAGGUUUCUUGUGUGGUGGUGGUGGUGGAGGAGAGUAGAUCGGAGGAGGCGGUGGGGGAGACUUGUAAUGGUAGGGUGGUAGUGGGUUCUUCUUAGGAGGUGGUGGAGGAGAAGAAUAGGUGUAAUCUGCUGAGGUUUCAAAAGGCAAACUGAGAGAAACUGCUAGAACUAAAAGAGUGACAAAGAGAGAGGUCAUUGAUGACCCCAUUUUCCCCAUCUUUACUUCUAAAAAUGGGUUUAAUUUG
rnacentral:lncRNA from 1 species